CGCGGCCUAUCAGCUUGUUGGUGAGGUAAUGGCCCACCAAGGCUUCGACGGGUAGCCGGCCCGAGAGGGUGACCGGCCACACUGGGACUGAGACACGGCCCAGACUCCUACGGGAGGCAGCAGUGGGGAAUAUUGGACAAUGGGCGAAAGCCUGAUCCAGCAACGCCGCGUGAGGGAUGACGGCCUUCGGGUUGUAAACCUCUUUCAGCGCAGACGGAGCGAAAGUGACGGUAUGCGCAGAAGAAGCACCGGCCAACUACGUGCCAGCAGCCGCGGUAAUACGUAGGGUGCGAGCGUUGUCCGGAAUUAUUGGGCGUAAAGGGCUCGUAGGCGGUCUGUUGCGUCAGGAGUGAAAACUCGGGGCUUAACCCCGAGCCUGCUUCUGAUACGGGCAGACUAGAGGUAUGCAGGGGAGAACGGAAUUCCUGGUGUAGCGGUGAAAUGCGCAGAUAUCAGGAGGAACAUCGGUGGCGAAGGCGGUUCUCUGGGCAUUACCUGACGCUGAGGAGCGAAAGUGUGGGGAGCGAACAGGAUUAGAUACCCUGGUAGUCCACACCGUAAACGUUGGGCGCUAGGUGUGGGACUCAUUCCACGAGUUCCGUGCCGCAGCUAACGCAUUAAGCGCCCCGCCUGGGGAGUACGGC
rnacentral:rRNA from 1 species